rnacentral:rRNA from 3 species
UCCCACCUGACCCCAUGCCGAACUCAGAAGUGAAACGCCGUAGCGCCGAUGGUAGUGUGGGGUCUCCCCAUGUGAGAGUAGGGAACUGCCAGGCA